AAAGGUUUGGUCCUAGCCUUAAAGUCAGUUUUUAUUUAAUAUACACAUGCAAGUCUCCGCACCCCUGUGAAAACGCCCUUUAACCCCUAAUGGGGUCAGGAGCUGGUAUCAGGCACAACCUCUGCCCAAGACACCUAGCCUCGCCACACCCACAAGGGACCUCAGCAGUGAUUAACAUUGAUUAUAAGCGACAGCUUGAUUCAGUUAAACUAUUUAGAGCCGGCCAAUCUGGUGCCAGCCGCCGCGGUUACACCAGAAGCUCAAAUUGACCUUCAUCGGCGUAAAGCGUGAUUAAAGCUAUUUACCAAUGGAAUUAAACUUAAACUGAGCCGUGACACGCCUGCUAUUUAGAAACCCAAAAACGAAAGUUAUUCCAACUAAUCCUACUUGAACUCACGACAACUGAGACACAAACUGGGAUUAGAUACCCCACUAUGCUCAGUCGUAAACUUUAAAUUACAUCCUCACUCGCCCGGGAACUACGAGCCAAGCUUAAAACCCAAAGGACUUGACGGUACCCCAUUUCCACCUAGAGGAGCCUGUCCUAUAAUCGAUACCCCACGUUUAACCUCACCAUUUUUAGCUUAUUCAGCCUGUAUACCUCCGUCGUCAGCUUACCACGUGAGCGUCAGUGAGCCUAAUGUUUUUUCAACAAUACGUCAGGUCAAGGUGCAACUUAUAUAAUGGAAAGAGAUGGGCUACAUUUUCUAUCAUAGAAAACACGAAAGACUACUUAUGAAAACCAGUCGGAAGGCGGAUUUAGCAGUAAACAGAAACUAGUAUAUUCUUUUUAACCCGGCACUGGGGUGUGUACACACCGCCCGUCACCCUCCUCUAACGCUAAAAACAGUUUUUAACCAAAUUCAGCCACCCAGAAGAGGUAAGUCGUAACAUGGUAAGUAUACCGGAAGGUGUGCUUGGAAUCAG
rnacentral:ncRNA from 1 species